rnacentral:lncRNA from 1 species
GAGCGUUUUCGUUCGGAGUUUUCGUCAUUUCUCGAAUUAAGACAGAAAGUGGCAAAUUUUUUUUCAUUUCUGUAAGAGACCAAAUCGGAUGAAUGAUUCAUAAUUUUAACUAAUUAUUAUGCUGUAUGUCUUUGAAAUUUGAGAGAUAUUCGUCAUAAAUUAUAAUAAUUUAUGAUGAAUAUAUCAUUCCUGUAUGUCUUAAGCAUGACAAUAUUUUAUUUAUUCUGUCUAUACUUUUUCAUACUGAGAAUAUGUACUCUAUUCUCUACAAUUCUAUUUGAAAAAUGUGAAUAUCAUUUCUGUGAUGUAUCAAUUAAAACACUAAACUUUUUACUUAUAAAAAUACAAAUGCAUAGGGUCAUUCCGGGAGUGAUGGCGCACUGGGAGAGAUGUUGCACUUUUGAUAAUUCUGAAUGUAGUCCUCAAAAAACGCUAGUUUCGCUCACUUGGAAUUCAGUGUAAAGCGAGAAGUUAAGUGAUAAUUUAGAACGUAAAUUAUUCGCCGUAUUUCGAUGGUUUUUUUUCCUCUUCCUUUCCUUUUCGUUUUGUUGUGUUUUCUUCCGAUGUUGGAAUUUCAGCAGAUUGUUUCCUUGUUGUGUUAUUUGGAAUACAAUAAUA